GGAUUGUUUUAUCUAUUUCUGUAAAAAAAAAAAAAAAAAAAAAAAAAAAAGUCAUUGAAUCUCCUCAGGACCUCAGGUUGUCCUCACAGUGGCCACUUUUUUCUUGAGGGAUGCAACAGUC